UUCUAUAUUAGCAUUUUUUUCAUUUUCAGUUGUUUCAGUUUCCUAUUUUCAUUUCUAUUCCAUAACAGUAAAUGAAGAGUCAGAAGAAUCUGCAGAGGAAGUUGGAGGACAGACAAUGAUUUUGGAUACAUCAGGCUUGGGCUGGAGUGUGGAUCUGAGGCUGAAUUAUGUCCAGAUUUAAAGUUUAACAGCAAUGAUAUGAUGCGGAUUCUUAAUGUUUCUUCACAAGGAGAGAAUGAUAAGAGCCACUUUCAUCUAUUGGUGCAAGUGUAACUCAAGCAUCGUAGUCACUAGCUACUGAGAACCCUAGUUGAUUUUUAGCCAGCCUUUAUUGGAUUUCAGUUACAAGAACACUGUAUUCACCAUGACUUACUUUUUUAUGUGAGAUCUAAGCCGUAUCUUUAAUUUCACUGGUAUUCUAUGACUCACAUCUUUUCAUCCAGUGUUAUAAAAACUGUUCAUUACUGGUUUAACAGCAAGCAGGAAUUAAGUUACUUCUUUGUAUUUGGUUAGUCUUAAGUCUUCAGACUUAUGUGAAUUAGUACUAUCAUUGAUAAUAGGAAUGAAUUCACUUCAGGAAUCACUUCAGAACUUUAUUUUGGUCAU
rnacentral:lncRNA from 1 species